UACACAAGGGGUUCUUAACUUAAUGCGGUUC
rnacentral:piRNA from 1 species